rnacentral:rRNA from 1 species
UAGAUGUGAGAGUAGAGCAUAUCAAUAAGCGGAGGAAAAGAAACUAACAAGGAUUCCCUAGUAACGGCGAGUGAAGCGGGAAGAGCUCAAAUUUGAAAUCUUAAAGGGUUUCCCUUGACGAAUUGCAGUUUAUAGAAGUGUUUUCUGUUGGAGUUUUCGGUAAAAGUUCUUUGGAAUAGGACAUCAUAGAGGGUGAGAAUCCCGUAUUUGACCGUUACUUUUCAGCUGUGUGAUACACUUUCAAAGAGUCGGAUUGUUUGGGAAUGCAGUCCAAAAUGGGUGGUAAAUUUCAUCUAAAGCUAAAUAUUGGUGAGAGACCGAUAGCGAACAAGUACCGUGAGGGAAAGAUGAAAAGAACUUUGAAAAGAGAGUUAAACAGUACGUGAAAUUGUCAAAAGGGAAGCGUUUGACACCAGUGUUGUUUAGUUGAAAAUCAAUUCAAUAAUUUUUGAUUUUAAGUAGUAUUGACUUCAUCAGCUUGCUGCUUUCUUUUCAGGAAUUAUUGAAUGCACUUUUCAGUUAACAAGUCAACAUCAAUUUCUUUUGUUGUAAAAGGGUAAGAGGAAGGUGGCUUACGUUUCGGCGUAAGUGUUUAUAGCCUUUUACCUCUGCAAUCGGAGAGAUUGAGGCCAGCAGCGUAGACUCCUUCUGGGGUUAGAUACACUUGUGCUAAGCUAUAGCCUUGUAUAGACAACUUGUUGACUAUGCUCAGUCAUGUAGCUUACUCGCUUGUGCUAUUUUACCUACGCUUAGGAUGUUGACGAGACUGUCGAUCUC